rnacentral:rRNA from 1 species
GACGAACGCUGGCGGCGUGCCUAAUACAUGCAAGUAGAACGCUGAAGGAGGAGCUUGCUUCUCCGGAUGAGUUGCGAACGGGUGAGUAACGCGUAGGUAACCUGCCUGGUAGCGGGGGAUAACUAUUGGAAACGAUAGCUAAUACCGCAUAAGAGUAGAUGUCGCAUGACAUUUGCUUAAAAGGUGCAACUGCACCACUACCAGAUGGACCUGCGUUGUAUUAGCUAGUUGGUGAGGUAACGGCUCACCAAGGCAACGAUACAUAGCCGACCUGAGAGGGUGAUCGGCCACACUGGGACUGAGACACGGCCCAGACUCCUACGGGAGGCAGCAGUAGGGAAUCUUCGGCAAUGGACGGAAGUCUGACCGAGCAACGCCGCGUGAGUGAAGAAGGUUUUCGGAUCGUAAAGCUCUGUUGUAAGAGAAGAACGAGUGUGAGAGUGGAAAGUUCACACUGUGACGGUAUCUUACCAGAAAGGGACGGCUAACUACGU